ACCUCUUCAGAUCCAAAAUUUCCUCAACUCUUCUACCUUCUACUCGGCAAAGGAAGAAGAAGACUGCUGUGACCUCUUCAGAUCCGAAAUUUCCUCAACUCUUCUACCUUCUACUCGGCAAAGGAAGAAGAAGACUGCUGUGUUCAAUCGAAGAAGAAGAACAGUACAGGGCUUGUCUGACUCUUGCAGCAUCUUCUCGGCCAGCCGCAUGAAAAGGUGUGAUUUCGGGUGAGAAGAAGAGUGAGGAUCAGCAAACCGACCCGAAGUAGAAGAAGAUCUGAAGAAGAUCCGAAGAAGAAGAUUACCCCGAACAAAAGGAGUGGAAAGCUUGAGCUUUCGGCAUAAUACUGAUAAUUUACAAGGAUGGAUAACUUCAACUAUCACGGAUACAUACUUGAAAUACACCAUGGCAGAUCCUUUAAGGAAGAAGGAGGGGAAAUUUUGUACAGUGGGGGUGAGAUAAUGCGUUGGGAUAUUGACCCAGACAAAGUAUCUAUUACUCAUAUGCGAUGCAACCAUAAUUGCGAUGCACACUGCAGAAACAACUACCCUAACAUCAGAAGCAAGGCUCUGUCGAUGCUUUAACUCCUCCUUCAAUUCCUUAAUCUUUAAUUUUAUACACUUCAUUUCCAAUUCAGACGAGGAAACUUCUUCCUCACCAAUUUCUGAAAUGGAUUUCUACUGAGAAGCAUCAAAUUGAUCGUCUAUCCACCUAAAAUAGCCACACCCUCCAUUUUCCCGGUACCUUGGGCAUCCAAUGAAUCUCCUACCUGGGUUCUUUGGCGUGCGUGAUGUUCUCUGUUGAACUCUCAAUCCGCAACUACAAAGGGCUGCAUUGCUCCCAGAAAAGCUUGAACCAGAAGUCUCCACUCUUCGAUGCCUUCCUCUGGAAGCUUGUUGUCCACGUCCAAUAACGACUUCCAUGCCAGUAAUUGAAGACCUUGCACCGGAUUGCAACCAAACAUUUAAUAACUGGAAAAUACACUC